rnacentral:rRNA from 1 species
AACGAACGCUGGCGGCAUGCCUAACACAUGCAAGUCGAACGAAGCCUUCGGGCUUAGUGGCGCACGGGUGCGUAACGCGUGGGAAUCUGCCCUUGGGUUCGGAAUAACAGUUAGAAAUGACUGCUAAUACCGGAUGAUGUCUUCGGACCAAAGAUUUAUCGCCCAAGGAUGAGCCCGCGUCGGAUUAGCUAGUUGGUGAGGUAAAGGCUCACCAAGGCGACGAUCCGUAGCUGGUCUGAGAGGAUGAUCAGCCACACUGGGACUGAGACACGGCCCAGACUCCUACGGGAGGCAGCAGUGGGGAAUAUUGGACAAUGGGCGAAAGCCUGAUCCAGCAAUGCCGCGUGAGUGAUGAAGGCCUUAGGGUUGUAAAGCUCUUUUACCCGGGAUGAUAAUGACAGUACCGGGAGAAUAAGCCCCGGCUAACUCCGUGCCAGCCGCCGCCGUAAGAC